GGACCAAUAUGUCGGUCGUGCUUCGGUACGUACUGUCAUUAUUGGUUUCUCCCUUCUGAAGAACCUUGAUGUCAUUAAUUUGGUGUCUUGGGGAAUCAGGACUGUUACUUUGAAAAAAUUAGAGUGUUCAAAACAAGCUUAUGCUUGAAUACAUUAGCAUGGAAUAACGGAAUAGGACUU
rnacentral:rRNA from 1 species